UGGGGAAUAUUGCACAAUGGGGGAAACCCUGAUGCAGCGACGCCGCGUGAACAAAGAAGGUAUUCGUAUCGUAAAGUUCUGUCCUAUGGGAAGAUAAUGACAGUACCAUAGAAGAAAGCUCCGGCUAAAUACGUGCCAGCAGCCGCGGUAAUACGUAUGGAGCGAGCGUUGUCCGGAAUUAUUGGGCGUAAAGGGUACGCAGGCGGUUUAAUAAGUCGAAUGUUAAAGAUCGGGGCUCAACCCCGCAAAGCAUUGGAAACUGAUAAACUUGAGUAGUGGAGAGGAAAGUGGAAUUCCUAGUGUAGUGGUGAAAUACGUAGAUAUUAGGAGGAAUACCAGUAGCGAAGGCGACUUUCUGGACACAAACUGACGCUGAGGUACGAAAGCGUGGGGAGCAAACAGG
rnacentral:rRNA from 1 species